UACGGGGGGAGCAAGCGUUGUUCGGAUUUACUGGGCGUAAAGGGCGCGUAGGCGGUCAGCACAAGUCAGUUGUGAAAUCUCCGGGCUUAACUCGGAAAGGUCAACUGAUACUGUGCGACUAGAGUGCAGAAGGGGCAACUGGAAUUCUCGGUGUAGCGGUGAAAUGCGUAGAUAUCGAGAGGAACACCUGCGGCGAAGGCGCCUUGCUGGCCGAUUUCUGACGCUGAGGCGCGAAAGCGUGGGGAGCAAACAGG
rnacentral:rRNA from 1 species